GAUGAAGAACGUAGUGAAACGCGAUAUGUAAUGUGAAUUGCAGAAUUCAGUGAAUCAUCGAAUCUUUGAACGCACAUGGCGCCUUCCAGUAUCCUGGGAGGCAUGCCUGUCCGAGCGUCGUUUCAACCCUCGAGCCCUCGUGGCCCGGCGUUGGGGAUCUGCCACGGCAGGCCCCGAAAUACAGUGGCGGACCCGUUAGGCCCUUCCUUUGCGUAGUAGCAUCAGCCUCGCAUCGGGAGCCGGCGGGCUCUCCUGCCUCUAAACCCCCCAUCAAGCCCGCUCCGGCGGCACCAAGGUUGACCUCGGAUCAGGUAGGAAUACCCGCUGAACUUAAGCAUAUCAAUAAGCGGAGGA
rnacentral:misc_RNA from 1 species